UUUGAACAGAAUUGCCAUUUUGAAGAGAGAUGCACUUAAGUCAAGUCUGUCAUUGACUAUUUUGGAAAUCCUGGAUUCAAAUCCUGGUAUUCACUGUACUAGGAUAUUCUCAUCCAAAAGAUCUCUCAUGAGUUAAUUAAAAUUGAAACGCAGUCCCAUUUUUUUAUACUAAAACGAGUCUUUUGUGGAUGCCACAUUCUAUAAAAGAGCAGAAAAGGUAGGGCACAUUUCCUACCAUAUUUUUCUUGCUACCUACUCCAGCCUGUAAAACAAAUAAUACCACCAGGCCAUUGGAUAACCACACGGGACCAUUUCUUGGCACUCACAGCUCUGCAGACACCAGCAGCUGACUAGAAGGAGGAGGACUGUGAAUCGUCUAGUAAAGAUUCUUUCAUUUUUACAUUGGCCCUUGACGAGCAAACAUACAGGCCAUUACCAGACCGAAACCUCUCAUGUUUACGUCUUUGCAAGACCUGCAGGAGAUGGUGCUCCAUUAACCUUGGAUUGCAGAACCCAGGACCACGUCCACCCAGAUGAGGCAUCAGACUUAGAGGGUGCAAGAAGAAAAUGGCAACCACUCCAGUCUCUUUGGCAAGAAAACCUCAAAGGGUUCCUAGAGAGUAGGACAGGACUGAACAGCUGAACAACAAGGGAGCUGGAGAAGACAACAAUGAAGAGAGGUGAUUGGGAAGCAGGAAGAAGAGCUCACUGUGGUUUCCAGCAUUAAACUAUUAGAUAAAAGUUCAAUGGAAGAAAACUCCUUGGUCUGAGGAAUGUGAGACCAAGAAUACAGAAGAACAAGAAACAAAA
rnacentral:lncRNA from 1 species